rnacentral:tRNA from 1 species
GCCUGCAUAGCUCAGGGGCAGAGCACUAGUCUUGUAAACUAGGGGUCGUGAGUUCAAUUCUCACUGUGGGCU